ACUGGGCUCAGAGCAGGUUCAGGCUGGGCUCAGAACAGGCUCAGACUGGGCUUAGACUGGGCUCAGAGCAGGCUCAGGCUGGGCUUAGACUGGGCUCAGAGCAGGCUCAGGCUGGACUCAGAACAGGCUCAGACUGGGCUUAGACUGGGCUCAGAGCAGGCUCAGGCAGGGCUCAGAACAGGCUCAGAGCAGGCUCAGAGCAGGCUCAGGCUGGGCUCAGAGCAGGCUCACAACAGGCUCAGGCAGGGCUCAGGCCAGAGCAGGUGCAGGCUCAGGCUGGGCUCAGAACAGGCUCAGAGCAGGCUCAGGCUGGGCUCAGAACAGGCUCAGAGCAGGCUCAGGCUGGGCUCAGAACAGGCUCAGAGCAGGCUCAGGCUGGGCUCAGAACAGGCUCAGAGCAGGCUCAGGCUGGGCUCAGAACAGGCUCAGAGCAGGCUCAGGCUGGGCUCAGAACAGGCUCAGAGCAGGCUCAGGCUGGGCUCAGAACAGGCUCAGAGCAGGCUCAGGCUGGGCUCAGAACAGGCUCAGAGCAGGCUCAGGCUGGGCUCAGAACAGGCUCAGAGCAGGCUCAGGCUGGGCUCAGAGCAGGCUCACAACAGGCUCAGGCAGGGCUCAGAACAGGCUCAGAGCAGGCUCAGGCUGGGCUCAGAGCAGGCUCACAACAGGCUCAGGCAGGGCUCAGAACAGGCUCAGAGCAGGCUCAGGCUGGGCUCAGAGCAGGCUCACAACAGGCUCAGGCAGGGCUCAGGCCAGAGCAGGUUCAGGCUGGGCUCAGGAUGGGCUCAGGGCAGGCUCAGAGCAGGUUCAGGCUGGGCUCAGAGCAGGCUCAGGCUGGGCUCAGAGCAGGCUCAGGCUGGGCUCAGGGCAGGCUCAGCCCCCUGGACGCCUGUCAGGAGCAGAACCAGAGUCUCCCCCACACAGCCUUACCAAGCAGAGACAAUCAGAACAGGGGUAAUUUUUUCACCCGUGGCCAUGAUCCGCAGGGACAAGGGGCAGGGUGGGAUUUAAGGCACCCUUGAGGGAAGUGAGAGUGGGAGAAAGGCUCAGCCUGGCUGUGCCCACUUUGCCAGGAUGGUCUGGAGGGCACAGUGACCCCUCCUCGGGCUGCAGCCGAGCACUGGACCAGCACACAACUCAAAAACCUAAAACGAGAAUGAAUUACCCACUGCUAACAGAUUGCAAGCCUCUCCCGUUUUCAAACUGUUCAUAAAUUGAUUCUAAUUUCUUCUGUACAACAAUUAAAAGUGUUUUUGUUAUCCUGAUGAACUGAACUGUAACCAAAGCUUUUGCAAAUAAACACAAAGACAGAUGAUGAAGCUGGUAAUAAGCAGAUUGCUCCUGUGUCCUGAGCAGCCACCAACACUUGGCAGCGAGUAUCAUCUUUCACAACAACAACAACCAAGGCUAAGAGCACACGGCUAUUUCAUGCAGUCAUCAAAACAAAAUGCACUGAAUAUUAUAUUUCAUACUAAAUACAUUACCCUGGCAGUUUGACACUCAGCAUUUCAAUAGAUAUUGCAUCUCUCUAACAUUCUGCCUGAAUUUCUGCAGAUGGACUUUUAAGUAUCAAUGGAAGAUUACUUUACUUGUCACGCUAAAAAGAUUUUAAAGAAUGGUUGCACACACUUCAUUUUAAAUUUUUUUCUAUUUCUUUUUUUAAAAAAGAAAAUGACUUAUGAAUUCAGGAACAUGGAAGGUCAAAGCCUGUGCUGCUGCAGCCCUUUGUGUGUGCUGCUCUUCCAGCACUCAGCUCCUUCCCCUGAUGUGCCCAGCACAGCACCGGCAGCAUUGCUCCAGUUAAACUCAGCUUACCUAGGCAGUGCUGGCCUAAGCUGAGAGAAAGCCACAGCAUUCCCAAAUCUCAUCUAUUCACUGUGACAUGGUUUUGGUUUGGGUUUCUUUAAAUGUAUUUUAUCUGACGGCUGUGAAGUUUGCAAAUACAAAUACACAGGAAUCAUGCAAAUACACAGGAAUCUCGGCAAAUUCUCAGUAAAAAACUCCAAACAAACGAGCACCAAAGGAAAAACCAGCUGGAUGCCAUGAUUUCAGGAGACACCUUGAGCACACAAAUAUCUCUCAGGAUCACAAACAGAUGAAACCCACAGCAUUAGCCCAGGAGAAAUGCGGAUUUUGAGGUUCAGUUCCAGAGACCCGAAAAUCAGACAUUUGCCAAGGUUCAGUGGGACACAUAUUUAGGUUCUGCCAGGGAGCACUGGCACAAAGCAGCCCCUUCACCUGCACCUCUCUGCUCUGGCUCCCAGCCAGGAUGCCCAGGACCCGCCUCGUCCAGCUCUGGACCCCCACACCAGCCCCACCUCAGCUGCUGCCAUCAGAUCCAACAGCAAUUAACACCCUUGGAGGCUGCUGCUAUUCUAGAAUUUUAAAUUUACUUUUGUCUUUUCUCAACUGGAGGAGGGGGUUUGUUCACGAGAGCGAGUUUCAUCGCUCACAUGGCAAAUCUGCCAGUAGCAGAUCACAGAAUGGAUUGUUACCUUUCCCUAUCCAUUUUGUAAAGAUAUUGCUUUCUUUCCAGACUGCAAGCAUCACUUCUAACUGGAUUUUGAAUUAUAAUGCGAACUUUACAAAAUUAUUGGUGCUAUUCAUAUCACUAGUUAGAUUCUAUGGAACUGUGAUAUUUUUUGACCUUCCCCAAACCAGCACCUCUUAGUGUUUAUUACCAUAACAGAACCACAGCCAGCAGAAAUUGAACAUUUCCAAGUAAAGUAUUACAUUGCAGCGAGUAAACAAGGAAUAAAACAUUUUUAUACUUCUCCCUAAACUUAUUUGCUUUUUGAAAAUAUUUAUGCAGCACAAAGACAUGAGUUUAGUGAGAAAUACAGCCAGUUCCUCUUGUUUAAUUGAAACAUUUGUGCUUUUUGUUCUGCUAGCAGUAAUAUUGCAAGAUAAAUACGCAAGAAACUUAUAGAUAUGAUUGUAAAACAACAUCGUCCUAAUGUUUCCACUUAAUUACCCUGAAAUGUAUUCUAUUUAAUAUUCAUUACUCAAAAGCCAAUUUAAAAGAGAACGAGGUGAAGGGACUUAUUCAGAAAGACGGACUGUCAUUCACGGCGAUAGUUAUCUAAUAUACAGAAGUUAA
rnacentral:lncRNA from 1 species